rnacentral:rRNA from 1 species
GGGGCGCAGCACCGGCCCGUCACGUCCGCGCUGACGGUGUGGCGGAGCAAGAGCGCGCACGUUGGGACCCGAAAGAUGGUGAACUAUGCCUGAGCAGGGCGAAGCCGGUGGAAACUCUGGUGGAGGCUCGCAGCGAUUCUGACGUGCAAAUCGAUCGUCAAACUUGGGUAUAGGGGCGAAAGACUAAUCGAACCAUCUAGUAGCUGGUUCCCUCCGAAGUUUCCCUCAGGAUAGCUGGCACUCGCUGAAAGCAGUUUUAUCCGGUAAAGCGAAUGACUAGAGGUAUUGGGGUCCUCUGAGUCGUCAACCUAUUCUCAAACUUUAAAUGGGUGAGAAGCGUCGCUCUCUGGCUUUGGAGCGGCGCAUAGAAUGCUGAGCGCCAAGUGGGCCAUUUUUGGUAAGCAGAACUGGUGCUGUGGGAUGAACCGAACGCCCGGUUAAGGUGCCUAACAUUGACGCUCAUGAGAACCCAUAAAAGGUGUUGGUUGGUACAGACAGCAGGACGGUGGCCAUGGAAGUCGGAACCCGCUAA